CCUGGCCCCGGCCCCUGGCCCCCAUCCCGACCCCCAACCCCCGCCACGGUCCCGGUCCGGGCCCUCCCGCGCUUCCCCGCCUCCCAGCCUACCUGCAGCCUCCGAAAAGCGCGGGGCCGGAUGUGCGCCUGCGCGCUGCUUACGGGCUCGGGCCCGCGCCGUGCGUGCGUGCGUGGGGCGCGCCGGAGGUGGGGGCGGUGCCUGGUGAGGAUCCGGGCAGCGGCUGGCGGCGCGGGCAUCAGCCUGGGGCUCAGGAGACUCGGAGACGCUGAGGGUAGAGCCCAGUUCAGAGGACCCCCGCAGAAGGCGCCUUACCUGCGCGGCCCUGGGCAGCUCAGGGAGCGCGGUGCAGCCGCAGGCCGGGCCAGGCAGGUGGCGGCGCGGUCAGGUCGACUUGACACGGGGGGCGUGGGGGGGGGGGAGCGGUACCCCUCCUCGGAGCAAGUGGAGGCCGGGUCCCCGCGAGCCCGUGGCGGUGCCCCUCUUCCGCCCUGUCUGUUCUCUACGUUAGCAGGUGGGUGCUGGACAAAGCUUACCCACUGGCCAUGAGGACGGAGUAGAGGAGCGUGCAAAUCGACAUGCAUCUUUAAGACAGAAUAAGGGACUCCGAACGCCUGCUCGGCCUGAGUCUGGCAGCUCAGAUCUAUCCCUCAGCCAGAACACCCCGCCCCCGCCCCCGCCCCGCGCUCUUUAGGGACACUUUCGUGGAAGGAAGCCUUUGGAAAACACUCCAUUGCUGCCUUGGACUUUGUUUUGGAGCAAGGCUUCAGAGGACAGUAGCAUGCUCAGAUUAGUGAAUUGCGUUUUCAGACCAAGAAACAGAAUAGCCACUGGCAACGACCUGUGCUGUCAUUAAUGUCAUCGUGUCACAUAACUCUGGAGGCAAUUCCGGGCCUGAUCACGCGCCCUAAGGAUGUCCUGAGGGUACACAUUUCCACUCUGCCAUGUCCCCCCUCCCCCCACCAUCUCCCGUGACUUUUCCCUCCAGGUUUGUCACCUCACUGUUCCGAGAAGGCCCCCACGAUCCAAGGAACGCAGCCUCACACUGCCCCAUUUAAAGCGGGAAGAAGGGGCCAAACUAGGAAAGACCUUUCACCCCUGAAUACUUCUCUUUCGGCAAAAGGAAGGAGUGUUUUGUUUUUGUUUUUGUUUUUCCCAGGAAGCCCCAGUAGCCUGCGUCUUCCUCUCCUUGGCUCACCGAUCUUGGGUUAUCCAUCCUGAGAGCGGAAAAUAACAGCACGUGACAUUUAAAUGCAAGGCCUGAAGAAGUGGGAGGCAAAAAAUAUUUCAAAGACCUUUCUUCUAGCAGCUUUUAAAUGGGCACAAAAUAAAAGGGAUUGGACAAUAUAUUUUUUUAAACAGGCGAUCACAAGUGAAACCGCUCACAAUUCAUUUCUUGGCUUAAGUAGGAAUAACAGACUUUUUAUUCUAAAGGCUCAUAAUUUAUUAGCUAAUUGUCUAAUUAUCAUAAUUACUCAAAAUAUAGAGAAUAAAAAUAAAAGAAAUUUAAAUGGAAACUUAUCUCCAGGCUGACUCAGUUGUGCGUUUACUAGCUGUUUUUCCACUUGUAUAUUUAGAAAUCACCAUAUGCUGUUAGGGUAAUUGGCAAUAAAUUUAGUAAAUUUAAAUAAAUAUUAUUAGGAUAGUUAGCAGUUUUUGGUGACUUUCAUCACUUAUGUUUUAAUGAUAGCAUUUGGAGAAUUCACACAAACCGCUGUCUUACCAUCCUAAGAGUUUUGUUCAAAUACUGAAUUACAUUUAUGGUCUCCAGAGCUGUUUUUCAACAAGUGACACGAGCAUUGCCAUUUCACUUUUGUGCCUUUGAUACAAAAGCAUUUCCCAAUCCAGCAGUUUCCAUCUUCCUGCAUUGCUGGCGGAAGUAUAAGUCACUUCCGUACUCUCCCCGAACUCAGCCUCCUCCACAUCUAUGUAAGGGGAGUAAACUUCUCUAACUCAGAAGCUCUUCUAAGACUUGCGAUUAAUACGCGAUAUCAUAAAUCCUCAGAACAUUGGCUGGCACGAUGCAGACAUUGAACGGAAGCUGUGAUGUUGUCCUGUACUUACUGCUGUAUGAACACUAUUAUUGGGAUUCAAACCCUUACACCGUAUCGAGACGUUUCCUCUUUUACAAAUGGGAUGUUUUGGAAUACCAUCUAACACUUUAGCCUAGUAUGGAAGAGUUUAGUACUUGAGCUAUGCAGAUAAACUUUCCUUCCGAGACCAUAGACUAUGUUCUUUCUUCUGGGUAGGAUUUUUUUUUUUUUUUUUUUGAAACUGCAAGAGAAACAGUUUCCACCCACAGCAAAGAGAGUGCCAGUUCUUUG
ensembl:lncRNA